UCAACACUACAACCUGACACGCGGCGC
rnacentral:sRNA from 1 species